rnacentral:rRNA from 1 species
UACGUAGGGCGCAAGCGUUAUCCGGAAUUAUUGGGCGUAAAGAGCUCGUAGGUGGUUUGUCGCGUUGUUCGUGAAAACUCACAGCUCAACUGUGGGCGUGCGGGCGAUACGGGCAGACUUGAGUACUGCAGGGGAGACUGGAAUUCCUGGUGUAGCGGUGGAAUGCGCAGAUAUCAGGAGGAACACCGGUGGCGAAGGCGGGUCUCUGGGCAGUAACUGACGCUGAGGAGCGAAAGCGUGGGGAGCGAACAGG